rnacentral:lncRNA from 1 species
UGUUUGGACAGCCAGGAAGACCUGACCUUCCUCUGGGAUAUGUUUGUGAGAAGAAAGUGAGAAAAGCCUGCAUUCACCGGUAAAAAUCUUCACAAUAUCCUGGGUAGCCUUAUGUUGUGAGGUGGAAGUCUCUUACUCUUCUGCAGUAGUGCUAAGUUGCCAGUGGAAACUGCCCAUGGGCCACAUGAGAGACCACGGAUCCUGUAAUGCUGGGAGGCAUAAAGCUGGCACAGAAGUGCUGCAGAGAGGCUGUCACCAGUUAGAGGGAAGGAGCCAGAGAAGCAAGAGGUGUGGCAACAGCCAAGGGUCUUCAAAGGUAGAUGGACUGUGCACCCCCUUCCUGAAUGGGAGACCAGCACAGAGACCUUGGGGGCACGCCCCGCCCAGUCCUGCCCAGCCUCGCCCAGGCUCCAGCCGGAGGCUCCACCCCAGGCCAUGGCCUUCCACUUGCUCACGUGACCACGCCACAGGCAUGCAGAGAGGCAGGCUGAGCUCUGCCAGGCCAGCAGGGUCCUUGCCAGGCCUGGUGGACUUCGAGGACAGGGAGCAGGUGAAGGCCUUUCUGGAGAACAUGGUGGAGUGCAAGUACCAGUGCUACUGUGAGAAGGACCCGGAUGAUUCAUGA